CUCAAGUCCGUCCUCCGUGUCUGUGCCGUCUCCAUCAUUACACAAGCACAGUGCACAGAGAGAGAGAGAGAGGAGAGAGAGUAUAUAUAGGAGAGAGAAAGGUCCCAACACUGAACAGGCCUUCCAAACCUCCUGACCUAGACGGGAUUACAAUCAAUUCCGUCCACCGGCGGCGUUCACACUAACAUCAGACUUCACGGCCUAACCCGCCGCCGGCGACCUGACGCGUCUGAUUCCUGCGGAUCCAUGGCGAUCGCGGACCGCCGCAAGCCCCUGCCCUCGGAAGCUCAGCCUUGGAAGCUCUGCCCGUUCUGGCAAUCAAGAACGGCGUCGUCUUCCUCAACUUCUUCUACUCAGAACCUUCAUAACUCUCAGAGCUCCACCCACCAAAACGGCGCCGUCCCACCGAACCCUCGGCCUUCGAGCAAGGUCUCUUCGGUGGCGAGAUCGAUCCUUCCGACCAGGCGUCGACUCCGCCUCGAUCCGUCUAACAAUCUCUACUUUCCCUAUGAGCCGGGGAAGCAGGUGAGAAGUGCUGUUAGGAUUAAGAACACUAGCAGGUCUCACGUGGCUUUCAAGUUUCAAACUACUGCACCAAAGAGCUGUUACAUGCGACCACCUGGAGGUAUCCUGGCUCCCAGAGAAAGCAUUAUUGCAACCGUGUUCAAGUUCGUGGAGCCUCCAGAGAAAGAGAACAAUGAGAAACAACCAGAUCAGAAGAGCAAGGAAAUAGAUCAGAAGAGCAAGGUCAAGUUCAAAAUCAUGAGUUUGAAAGUGAAAGAAGGGAUGGAUUACAUACCUGAAUUGUUUGAGGAGCAGAAGGAUCAAGUGGCAGUAGAGCGAGUUCUUCGUGUUGUAUUUUUGGAUGUGGAACGUUCUAGCCCUGCAUUGGAAAAACUGAAGCGUCAGUUGGCUGAAGCCGAGGCUGAAUUAGAGACACGCAAGAAACCCCCAGCAGACACAGGUCCCCGAGUAGUCGGUGAAGGUCUUGUUAUAGAUGAAUGGAAAGAGCGCAGGGAGAAGUACCUUGCUCGGCAACAGGUGGAGGCCAUAGAUUCAAUGUGAAAUCUUCUUUGCCGUUCAAAAAAAGAAGAAAAGAUUCAGUGUGAAGUGCAGUUUGCUUUCCUAGCAGAACUGGUCUACGUUUGGAUCAUCAAGGACUCAAGCAAUAGUUCUUCCCGGUGCCUUUGAUGCAUCAAAGGAAACUGAUGGAAAACCUAGUUCUUACAAGCAAGCAGCUGCAGAAGAACCAAUUCGGAUUGUAGCCUAUUUGAGUUGCUGGGGACCUUACUGACGUACGUUUUGCUUUGUUAUAUAUGAAGACUGUAGAUAUGAAGAAUCUACUCUCCCUUCUCUCUCUAGAUUCAUUCUGUACUGAUGGAUGCCGGCAAUGAACAUAUGUAGUUUUGAUGUUUCAGAAGCUGUAAAAACCUAGAGUUGAUUUUGUUUCUUGAGAAGUUGGUUUUGUUUGUUCAAUUAUUUAAGAGGUGUAAAUGAUACUGUUUUGGUAGAUAAUUUGUUUGUGUGACUCUGCAUGUCAGUCUACAGGACAAUUGAAUUAUGUUUUCACAGUUUCA